UACGAAGGGGGCUAGCGUUGCUCGGAAUCACUGGGCGUAAAGGGUGCGUAGGCGGGUUUUUAAGUCAGGGGUGAAAUCUUGGAGCUCAACUCCAGAACUGCCUUUGAUACUGAAGAUCUUGAGUUCGGGAGAGGUGAGUGGAACUGCGAGUGUAGAGGUGAAAUUCGUAGAUAUUCGCAAGAACACCAGUGGCGAAGGCGGCUCACUGGCCCGAUACUGACGCUGAGGCACGAAAGCGUGGGGAGCAAACAGG
rnacentral:rRNA from 1 species